GAACGCAUCAGUGACUGCAGGCAAACCAUUCAGUCAGGGCAGAACCAAUCGUCCUAGGGCGGGCGCACUUUAGAAGCAACCGAAGACUCAGUGAAAGGACCUAACUCAAUAAGCGUUUCCAUGGUAACGAUAGGCCGCGCUUGAGGAUGGAAACUACUGCAAGUUUUGUUACCUCCUCAAACUGCGAGAAAUGAAGAGAAAAUCUUACCUAUCAGAACAUGGCUGCACACGUCUGUAAUCCCAACAUUUGUGAGAUGAAGGCAGCAGGAUCAGGAAUUCGAGGCCAGCCUUGAGAACGUGUCUCAAGAGAAAUAACAAAAGUGAAAAUACGAGCUACCUUUAAGCUGCAUGACGUCAUCUCUUCCCGAGUGUGCCUUUGCCGCGUGUCCACCUUAAACGGUAACCUUGCCCUCGGGAGCUCUCAAUCCCUUACUGAGCUCUACCCUGCCCGCCUCCUUUGAUAAAAAUGAAAAAUAAAUGUCUUCAUCUACAGUUCUGAGGCAAGAGAGACUCCCAGAGGUGAACUUCCUUCAUUCCCUCUAGCUGCUACCAAAGUAUCCACCUGCAACUGAAGUCUUCCUUUUCCUGUCCUGAAAAGAAACGUUUUGUCCUCUCAGGCUAAUCCUGGCCCUGGAAUUAAGGCAUCACCCUUCUUAUCCAUUUUGAGACUCACCCGCUUUUUUAAAAAAAAUGAAUGCAACCCCUCAUCUUUCUCCUCAAUAAAAUAAGUCUCUGUG